rnacentral:tRNA from 1 species
GCAAUGUUGGUUGAAGGAAGAAUCUCCGCCCUAUAAGGGCGGAGAGUUGUCAACUCAACCAAUCAAUGCUUGUGAUGAUUUCGCAUAGCUUUAUG